rnacentral:tRNA from 1 species
UGGGGCAUGGCCAAGCGGUAAGGCAACAAGUUUUGAUCCUGUUAUUCGGAGGUUUGAAUCCUUUUGUCCCAA